AUUGAACGCUGGCGGCAGGCCUAACACAUGCAAGUCGAGCGGUAGCACAGAGGAGCUUGCUCCUUGGGUGACGAGCGGCGGACGGGUGAGUAAUGUCUGGGAAACUGCCUGAUGGAGGGGGAUAACUACUGGAAACGGUAGCUAAUACCGCAUAACGUCUUCGGACCAAAGCGGGGGACUUUCGGGCCUCGCGCCAUCAGAUGUGCCCAGAUGGGAUUAGCUGGUAGGUGAGGUAAUGGCUCACCUAGGCGACGAUCCCUAGCUGGUCUGAGAGGAUGACCAGCCACACUGGAACUGAGACACGGUCCAGACUCCUACGGGAGGCAGCAGUGGGGAAUAUUGCACAAUGGGCGCAAGCCUGAUGCAGCCAUGCCGCGUGUGUGAAGAAGGCCUUCGGGUUGUAAAGCACUUUCAGCGGGGAGGAAGGCGGUGAGAUUAAUACUCUCAUCGAUUGACGUUACCCGCAGAAGAAGCACCGGCUAACUCCGUGCCAGCAGCCGCGGUAAGAC
rnacentral:rRNA from 1 species